rnacentral:rRNA from 2 species
UUUUGACCUCGGAUCAGGUAGGGAUACCCGCUGAACUUAAGCAUAUCAAUAAGGCGGAGGA